rnacentral:rRNA from 1 species
GGAAUUGACGGGGGCCCGCACAAGCGGUGGAGCAUGUGGUUUAAUUCGAAGCAACGCGAAGAACCUUACCAGGUCUUGACAUCCUUUGACCACUCUAGAGAUAGAGCUUCCCCUUCGGGGGGCAAAGUGACAGGUGGUGCAUGGUUGUCGUCAGCUCGUGUCGUGAGAUGUUGGGUUAAGUCCCGCAACGAGCGCAACCCUUAUUGUUAGUUGCCAUCAUUCAGUUGGGCACUCUAGCAAGACUGCCGGUGACAAACCGGAGGAAGGUGGGGAUGACGUCAAAUCAUCAUGCCCCUUAUGACCUGGGCUACACACGUGCUACAAUGGGAAGUACAACGAGUUGCGAAGUCGCGAGGCUAAGCUAAUCUCUUAAAGCUUCUCUCAGUUCGGAUUGCAGGCUGCAACUCGCCUGCAUGAAGCCGGAAUCGCUAGUAAUCGCGGAUCAGCACGCCGCGGUGAAUACGUUCCCGGGCCUUGUACACACCGCCCGUCACACCACGAGAGUUUGUAACACCCGAAGUCGGUGAGGUAACCUUUUUGGAGCCAGCCGCCUAAGGUGGGAUAGAUGAUUGGGGUGAAGUCGUAACAAGGUAGCCGUAUCGGAAGGUGCGGCUG